UACGGAGGGAGCAAGCGUUAAUCGGAAUUACUGGGCGUAAAGCGUGCGCAGGCGGUUUUGUAAGUCUGUCGUGAAAGCCCCGGGCUCAACCUGGGAAUUGCGUUGGAGACUGCAAGGCUUGAAUCUGGCAGAGGGGGGUAGAAUUCCACGUGUAGCAGUGAAAUGCGUAGAGAUGUGGAGGAACACCGAUGGCGAAGGCAGCCCCCUGGGUCAAGAUUGACGCUCAUGCACGAAAGCGUGGGGAGCAAACAGG
rnacentral:rRNA from 1 species